UGUGACCCAGAUUUGACAUCACUAGUGUGAACAAGUGGAAAUGUCAGAUUUAAUCUCUAUUAUUUUGUCCCGCGACCUUACACAUUGUCUUUCUGGAGGGCCUCUCGCUCUGUCUGUGGUGAAGGAGACAUGCUUGGCACAUAAAAUGGAUGCCAGAGGAAUAUCAACAUUUGUUGACACAUGUUUAUUUUUGCAACAAUGAAGAUUUGUUUGCUGGCAAAGAAGAUCAAUGCAUAAUUGCAGAAAAUAAUUGAUACAUGUCAGACAUGAUUGUUGCUGAUGCUGUCUAUCCACCUAGUAAACUGAAAGACUGUACCAAUACCCCUUUCACGCCAAUCUUAUAACCCUGGUUAUUUUCAUGGCAACUCGGGUCCAGGUUUGGUGUGAAAAGGUAGCCUGCAGGUUGAACCGUGUGACCUGGAAAGCAUGCAGAGAGCAGGAUCAUCAGCGUUUGAAGAUGAUGUAACUCCAAAGCCGGCUAAAGGAACACCCUAUAAUAACCCGGGUCCAGCCUGCGGUGUGAACUGGGUUUCAAGCCGAUGUGACGUAGCUUAAAAAAGUGUUCAACAACUCAGGUUGAACCUGUUUUUUUCGGUGUGAAAAGGGUAUAAUAAACAACCCACACCAUAGGCAAACACAGGGGGUUUCCAGUUGCCCAGAAAGCCCCAACCAGUGGCCACAACAUGCAGUAUAAGCGGCAGAACAAGUGGCAGCUGGUUCUUCUACUCCUAAAAGGAAGUACGUCAAAAAUGCGCUAAAAUGCACAACCACCUAUGGUGGCGUGGGUUGCUAGGUACACGAGUUGUCCAAACACAGCUACUGGUACCCUGACUGCUAGAAGGCCUUUCCUCUCUCCCUUCACUUACCUGUCCCUGGAUUCCCCUAUAAAUCAGCCAGAAGGAGGAUGACGAUGGAGCUGGAUGGAUCCCCACACAGUGCAUCCGUGGCGAGAUGGCAUCUCAGCUUUAAAUCAACCAGAAGGAGGAUGAUGAUGGAGCUGGAUGGAUCCCCACACAGUGCAUCCGACUUUCUUCUGUCCUCCUGGAAGUCUCUCUGAACACCUGCAAUGUUAUUAUCCUGGACACUGGCUUGGCCUUUUCAAAAAAAAGAUCCUCACAACCUGUUGUACCUGCAUACCAAUCACUACAUGUUUGGAAACAUUAUUUGCUUUAUACAUACAAAAGUUAAAAGUUAAAAACAGAGAAGCUUGAAUUUCACGUCACAUUUAAGUGAAGCAUUUUAUUUUGGUAGUAAAUGACAAUGCAAUGUAUACAAAUUUACCUGGUUUUGUAUUAU